UGGUGUAUCAAGGAAAUCUAGGGUUUCGUCCUGCUCCUCUGUCUAUCGUAGAAUACGCCUGUGAAAUUUAGUAAAAUUUUCUUCAAUUCGAUUGCUGAAUAGAUAUUAUCUUCAGGAAAUUUCAGUGUUUGGUUUUGAUUCGGGUUCAUGGUUCUCUGUAUAGCUCGAACUCGACCCUUUGGACGUCUUAAGGGAAUCGUUUGAUUUUUCUGGGUUUUAAUGGUGAUCUCACUGAUUGUUUGCUAUAUUUUCUCUGGUGCAUAUUUGUUCUGGGAUGCUCAAAUUGCUGUUCCUCUAUGCUGAUUUUAUGGAUCUGUCGUUGAAUCCAAGAACUAUAGUGAUCUUACAGUUUAUGAAUCUGUACACAGGCUUGCUGGGCUUGCUUUCAUGUUUUCAUCGAGUAUCCUCUUACAGAUCCUGGUACGUUUGAAAUCUCAGUCUAGUCAUCAAGCUGUGAUGAAACUAUCAUGUUGCUCCAACGUGCUUGGUCGAACAAAGUACAAACGUCUAUAACUCUGCUUUCUUCUUCCAUCGAAAAGAAUAAUAUUAUACACUAACCAUCUAUAAAAUUGGUUUAUCUUUGUGAUUUCUUGUUGUACCUUCAACCUCCUUUUUCUUCCCGGCUGCUGGUAACAAGGAAGAUCUGUGAUGAUCUUAGUCCUUUCUACGAGUGGUGGAGACUCUUUCUGCAGGAAAUUAUGGAAAAACUGAACCUUUCGUGUGUUUUAUAGUUUUAGCUUCUCUUUCCCGUGUGUAGCCAUACGAUUGGUUCUUGUUCGGUCUUUUUUGGUUCAAGUUAACUACAAGAAGCAAGGAUCUGAUGUGCUUUUCUGACAAGUUUAGGAAAUCAGGCUUGUGCAAUAUACGGUAAUUGGUGGUCGAUGCCCAUGCCUUGUUUGUUCUUUGGAGGAGGUUCCACCCAAUUCCUGAUUAGCCGAGAUGGUGGAGGGCUAUCUCCUCUCCUCGCAUAUCUCUCUGCCGCAGAACGCUUCUGGUUCUUCGACCAAAGAAAAAACCUCUCCUUUAUCCCUUUCAUCAUCUCCUCAUCCAUAAGGCGUUUUGUUGGGGAUCUUCCGUUUUCUGUCGACCAGAUCCGGAUAACCUAGCCACGAGUUAGCAGAUCUGCACGACAUGUCUGUAAGCUCUGCUGGGGAUCUUUUGUUUUAGGGGUUUCUGUCGAUCAGAUCCGGAUAACCUGGCCAUCGGUAUCUGUCUGUAAGCCCGGGUCCUUGUACGUGAAGCUGUCAAGUCCAUACGAGGAUACCGUUUCAGUUUUUUUUAAUCGUUCCUUGUGUCUAUCUUUUCUAAGAGUCGGGUUCUCAGAGUGGGCUCAUCGUCACUAGACAGUAGCCACACCUUGAUAAAAAAAAGUAGGUGCAGAAACCUACACUCCAGCAAUCUGACAUAAUGACAAUGAUCCCAAUAGAAGCGAAGAAAUAACACAAGAAACCUUGCAAAUGGGAAGACGUCUUUGGAUUUCUUAGCGAGGACUUUCAAGUAUAUCAAUCUCCCGUUUGUGUUGUUAAAUUAUUGUCUCAGCCUUACAAUGUGUUGUUCAUCCUGCCUCCGUUGUGAUGUUAUUGGUAUUUGCUUGGGGUACCACCAAUUCUAUAUAAGAAAAACUAAAAAAUAUUUUCUCUAUUGCCCUCAUCUUUUGAAAAUGGAUUUACUUCUGCUCAAGUGUAUUGGAUCCCAUCUUGUUACAGAUUGAGAAUGCCCUAGGAAUUAUUUAAGUGGUUACUAUUAACGACAAGGGUGAACUCCUUGUGGGAACUCCAACCAAGCGGUUUGUAGACGCUCAAACACAAAGGAGAUGGAAAUGGCACCGUGCAAGAUUGUUAAAGCUCAAAAUGGUGAUGUCUGGGUCGAAGUAAAAGUACUCUCCUUGCCAGAUUGGAGCUUUUUUGCUCGCGCAAAUGGAUAAAUACCUUUAAACACUUUUCGAGAGUGUUACUGUUAAGGUUUCAGGUUGUUUCAAGGAUGCACAAUCGAAGUAACCUUCUACAUUGAUCUCUGGGGCAAUUUUACUGUCUUUGCCAUAGACGAAGCCACUGGGAAAGACACGGAGUUGGACUUUCUGACCGACAAUGGCCCUUUAAUGUCUACAAUAUUGAGAAGUGGUUGAGCAAGUACAGAGAGAAAAUACGUACCGAGAUUGCGACAGAGAUUGAAACCGUUGUCACAAUUUAGGAGAGCCAAUUAGUUGUUUUGCUAUGGAGCCUCUGAUUCUCUACUCACGGGUGACAAGCCACGGGAUUGCGAAAAGAGUCUCUGUAAGUGCUUGGGUAAGUCCAAAGCUGCAAUAGAGGCUCUUUGGAAUAUAGGCCAACACAUGUCUGAAGGAUCUUCCUCCGGAGGGAGUGACUUGGGUACCACCAAUUCUAUGGAAGAACGGAGUGAGAAUGUCCAAGGAACUCUUUAAGAGGUUGGUAUUAACGACGAGGGUGAGUUCCCUGUGGGAACCUCGACCAAACGGUUUGAAGGUUCUCAGACAGAAAUGGAGAUGGAAAUGGUACCGCGCAUCAUUGUUCAAGCUGCAGAUGGCAAUGUUUAGGCCAAAGCAAACAGGCAACAGUAUUUUUCUAGGCAAAAGCACACCUUGGAAAAACUUUGACCGAAGCUAACUUCCGUCGUUUUGGUAAUUUACUAGACGCACCACUCAAAGUAUCCUUGUCCAUUUUUCCCCAUGAUGGCGUAGUUACUGUCUCGACCGAAGAGAUACUACCCUACUGGAAAAAGCUUAGGAGAGCGGCAGAAGAGGACGGGGAGAUCAUAGCCGAAAUGGAUGCGGCAAUAGAGGCUAAAAAUAAGACCUCUUCUCAUUAAAUUAAGCGACACUACCCACAUGUCUGUGGUCGAGUGGUAUCUGGACUGGAAGUGAGGGUGUUCCUCCUCCAGGUCAGGGGUUCGAAUCCAGACAUGCGGGAAGAGAGAGGCAUAGCCAAAGACUGUGUGUUCAAAUGCUGCUACCGGACCCAGAGAGAUGUAGGUUGGACCGAAGAUCCAAAUGAACUUCCUGUUUUGAUAAAAAAAAAAAAAAAAAAUU